CUCAUCUGCUUUGGUUUCGAAAAUGAGAGCACCCGUCCUCGUUUACAAAAUGGAGAGCGCUCUGCUGUGUGCUUCUCGCUUUGUUCCUUCAACAAUUAAGCGUUCGUUCAUACAAGCACAGAUUAAUAUCAUUGUGAUUUUAUUGUCUUUUAUCUUCUCGGAUUUCCGGUUAAUUUUGUGGUUGAAAUAUAUUGUUUCCUGUUAUUUUAAGCAGAUUAUAGUGAAGUGGGUGGCUAGGUGCAUUUGGAAGGAAUUUUCAUACUUCGUUUUCCGUCCAAGUGCCAUACAACAAUUCCCUUUUGAGUAGAAAUAAAGGAGCUGCUUGUAGAAGCCAUAUUGUCAUUGCUUCCGUGGUAAUUUU
rnacentral:lncRNA from 1 species